UAGGGAAUCUUCCGCAAUGGACGCAAGUCUGACGGAGCAACGCCGCGUGAGUGAAGAAGGAUUUCGGUUCGUAAAACUCUGUUGUUAGAGAAGAACAGCGCAUAGAGUAACUGUUAUGCGUGUGACGGUAUCUAAUCAGAAAGCCACGGCUAACUACGUGCCAGCAGCCGCGGUAAUACGUAGGUGGCAAGCGUUAUCCGGAAUUAUUGGGCGUAAAGCGCGCGUAGGCGGUUUUUUAAGUCUGAUGUGAAAGCCCACGGCUCAACCGUGGAGGGUCAUUGGAAACUGGAAAACUUGAGUGCAGAAGAGGAAAGUGGAAUUCCAUGUGUAGCGGUGAAAUGCGCAGAGAUAUGGAGGAACACCAGUGGCGAAGGCGACUUUCUGGUCUGUAACUGACGCUGAUGUGCGAAAGCGUGGGAAUCAAACAGG
rnacentral:rRNA from 1 species